rnacentral:rRNA from 1 species
CAAUAGCGUAUAUUAAAGUUGUUGCAGUUAAAAAGCUCGUAGUUGGAUUUCUGGUCGGAAGCUCCUGUCCUCUGAUGAGCGUACAAGUGCGUCCUGCCAUCCUUCUGUUAACCUUUAAGGCUUUCGCGGCUUUCUAGGGGCUCAGAUAUUUUACCUUGAGAAAAUUAGAGUGUUUCAGGCAGGCUAACGCCGGAAUACAUUAGCAUGGAAUAAUGGAAUAGGACUUUUGCCUCUUCUGUUGGUCAUGAGGCUCGAGUAAUGAUUAAUAGGGAUAGUUGGGGGCAUUAGUACUUAACUGUCAGAGGUGAAAUUCUCGGAUUUGUUAAAGACUAACUUAUGCGAAAGCAUUUGCCAAGGAUGUUUUCAUUAA